rnacentral:rRNA from 1 species
GGAGUAACGCGUAAAGAAACUUAGCCCUUUACGUACUGGGAGUAACAAGAGGGAAACGUUACUGAUAAUAACUGGAUAAGUUAGUAUAUCGCAUGAUAAUGCAAAUGAAAGACUACGGCACUAAAGGAGAGCUUUGCGUCCUAUUAGCUAGUUGGUAAGGUAAGAGCUUACCAAGGCGAUGAUAGGUAGCCGGCCUGAGAGGGUGGACGGCCACAAGGGGACUGAGAUACGGCCCUUACUCCUACGGGAGGCAGCAGG